AGUAUCCGGUACGAUAUCCGGACGCGUGUAAUAUUGUUGACAUACUUUUAUCGAUUCGGUUUACGAAAUGAAAAUAAUUCACCGGGAAUUCGUGGCAAUCAAGCUCAAGCUGAUACAGGACUGCUUCAAUACAGAUGAAUUAAAAAGCCCACCCAUCACGCACAUAUUUGCUCCAUGGGGGAUUGCAUUAUCAUCUCCACGCCGACGACUUACUUAACCAUUCAUAACUCAACCGGGAGCGAGAUGGAAAGCGAAACAAGCGCUUUGCAGUUGAGAAGGCACACCACGCCGAUGCUACAGUACAUACGAUGCUCUUCGCGGCGUUUUAUGAAUGAAACCUGCUUGCUAGCAUAACAUCCCGGGGCACAGCUGAAGCUGCAGCCGGCAGCACACGACAAAAGAACAAGACAUUCCCAUUCGGUCGGUCACUACGGCACAUCUUCCCUGGGGUCUUCCUUCAAGUGCUGCGCGGUACACAAUCACCUCUUCGUAAUCAACAACGGACAGAGGCCCGAGAUAAGUCAGCGAAGAGCCAUGCUGAAAGCUGACAUAAGGGGGGAGAGUGGAGCAUGGGGGAAGGGGGGAUGGGGCAUCCUGAGCGGGGAGCAUAGUCCACAUGUUUAGAACGAUGCAAGG